UCUGAAUAUGUUCUUCAGAUGGUACAAGGCAGUUUGAGGAAUUGAUUUGAUAUAACUGUUGAAAGUCAGGUCGGAAUCUAUCAGUACACCAAGGUUUUGGACUUGGCCUUUGGUUUUUAAACAGACUGACUCCAGGUAUUACUAACAGCAAUCCUCUUUUCUUUAUUGCCAAAAACAUUUAUCUCAGUUUUGUUGUGGUUUAAAUGAAGAAAAUUUUGGCUCAUCCAGUUAUUUAUCUGUUUUAAACAGUGACACAAGACCUCAAUUGAACUGUAGUCAUCUGGAGACACUGCUAGAUAUAACUGUGUGUCAUCUGCAUAGCUAUGAUAGUCAAAAUUAAAGUUCUGAAGAAUUUGACUCAAGGGUAGCAUAUACAGGCUGAACAGGAGGGGUCCAAGAACUGACCCUUGAGGGACCCCAUAGGUCAUUGCCAUUCGAUGAGAUUGAACACUUCCAAUGGUUACAAAAUAACUCCUUUCCUCCAGGUAGGAAUGAUCUACCGUAUCAAAAGCUGCUCUGAGAUCCAACAAGACGAGAAUUUACACCUUUCCCAAGUCAGUAUUCAACCUUACGUCAUUUAGCGCUUUGAUAAGAGUAGAUUCUGUUAUGUGAUGAGUUCAGAAACCUGAUUGAAAUUUGUCAAAAAGUCCAUUUAAAUUCAAGAAAUUGCAGAGUCGAUUAAAAAUAAUCUCAGCAAUCUUGGCUAUGAAAGGGAGAUUUUAGAUGGGUCUAUAGCUUGCUAACAUGGAAGUGUCCAUUGUUAAAAAAUUUUUUAGAAGAGGCUUAAUGGCAGCUACUUUAAGAGCUUUAGGAAACUCCCCUGGCUGAAGUGAGCAAAUGAUUAUUUGCUGCAAAUCAGCUAGCACAGACUUUGCAAUAGCUUUGAAAAAGUCAGAUGGUAUUGAGUCAAGACAGCUCGUUGAUGGUUUCAGCUGCUGAACUUUUUUCGAUUGUUGUUUUUUUUUUUGUCAACUGUAUCAAAUUCUGACAUGGUAAUAGAGUUUUUCCUGGGUGGCUUCAGAUGUAGCAUUAUUUUAUCAUUUUGCUGAUUUGUGCUGGAUUGUAUUUUUUCACUAAAAUAACUGUCAUGGGCGGCACAGUGGACGACUGGUUAGAGCGUCAGCCUCACAGUUCUGAGGACCCGGGUUCAAUCCCCGGCCCCGCCUGUGUGGAGUUUGCAUGUUCUCCCCGUGCCUGCGUGGGUUUUCUCCGGGCACUCCGGUUCCCUCCCACAUCCCAAAAACAUGCAUGAUUUGGAGACUCUAAAUUGCCCGUAGGCAUGACUGUGAGUGCGAAUGGUUGUUUGUUCCUAUGUGCCCUGCGAUUGGCUGGCAACCAGUUCAGGGUGUACCCCGCCUCCUGCCCGAUGACAGCUGGGAUAGACUCAAGCACGCCCGCGACCCUAGUGAGGAAAAGCGGCUCAGAAAAUGGAUGGAUGGAUGGAUAACUGUCAUGGGUGUGUGUUCCGGUUGUUGUUUUCCCCCUCUCUCGUACACACCUGCUCCUGAGAGCAUCUUCACCACCUGUGCCUCAUUCACCCUAAUUAUCCCUUGCAUUUAAGUUCGUAUCUCAUUCUUUUUAGUGGCCAGUUCGUUGUACCUUGUCGUCGCGUUCCAGCAUUCCUUGUUUCCACAUCACAAACUCACAGUAAGACGAGACCCUCUUCCGAUUAUCGACCUCGCCUGUUUGCCUCACGUUUUUGGAUACUGUUGCCUUUUUUGGAUUGCCUGCCUGUGUACCUGACCUCUGUCCGUAUAUUAAACUUCUCUUUUUGAAACUGUCCAUUUGUUUUGCAGUCGUGCAUUUUUGGGUCCGAUCCUCUGUUUCGUUCAUGACAGAACGAACUGACCAGCCUUGGUGACCAGGCAAACCAAGGCAGAUCCCCUGUUUCCGGUCUCAAUCCACUGGCUAGCGUCACCACAGAUAAACCCAUGCAACUGGGCAGGUUCAACAGGGAAGGGUGGUGCUUCUACUGCGGGCAGUUGGGUCUUUUCGUGAGCAACUGCCACGUCAAGGUUGCCGGUGCCGGUAGCAAGGGCACGGGAGCGGUGAGUCUAAAUUUCAUUAAGGAAGACCCUACCCGGGUUCUUCCUAAAGUGACACUAUGGUCUCCUGAUCGAGAAAUUCAACACCUGUAUUAAUUGUCUCUGGUUCUGACGCAAACCUACUCAACUCCCUCCUCAUAAGACGGAUGCACCUUAGAAACUUUCAAAUAAAACGCCACCGCAACACCUAUGCUGCAGACGGCAGAUUUAUGGGCAAGAUCACUCACCGCACUCAAACACUCACAUUGACUGAUUCUCACUCGGAACGCAUUCGUUUUCAUGUUUUUGAUGCCAUGAAUCAUGACCUUAUUUUAGGGAACCCAUGGUUGAAACUACAUAACCCCCACAUUUACUGGUCCUCUGGGCAGAUUAUGUCAUGGGGCAGCAAUUAUGCCCAGAACUGUUUCAAGCCUCCAUGCGAUGUUCAGGGCUAUGUUUCAAAUGUCAAUCCACAGACCCUAUCUGGGGAUCCUGACUUAUCUCAAGUGCCCACCUGUUACCAGGACAUUAAAGAUGUUUUUUCCAAGUCCAAGGCCAAAUCGCUUCCACCCCACAGACCUUAUGACUGUGCAGUUAACUUGCUGCCUGGAACCACACCCCCACGAGGGAGGUCUCUUUCAGGGCCGGAACACAAGGCUAUGAAGGAGUAUGUGGAUGAAUCACUGGCAGCCGAGAUUAUUCACCCAUCUUCUUCCCCUGCGGGAGCCGGAUUUUCUUUGUGGACAAGAAGGAUAAGACUCUGCGAUCCUGUAUCGAUUACCGGGGUCUCAACGACAUAACUGUGAAAAACAGUUACUGCAGAAUGAACUAUAUGUCAAGGCUGAGAAAUGUGAGUUCCACAAGGCAUCCGUUUCUUUUCUGGCGUUCCUGCUGGCUCCAGGUGAAAUCAAGAUGGACCCUUGCAAAGUUGAUGCUGUGACUAAUUGGCCCACAACCACGUCACGCAAAGGCGUACAAAGGUGUAGCAGACAUGCCAUGCAAAAGAUGCCACCCGGCACCCCAGCCUCGCACUACCGCCGUUCCCCGCUGAGGUAGGCUGGCGAGACACAGACUCUAAACGGAUCAAGACAAACAUUUGCUUUGCCAUGCCGACGCUAAGUGAAUCACGGCUGCCUGGAGCUUCAAACCGGAGACCCAAGGAUGCCGUGUUCGCCCCCGGACGCUAAGUUAAUUAACUCCCCGGCAGUCAAAGGAUUGCACCAACAAAGGCGCCUCCACCCUGUUGAAUAUUGCCACUUGGGAGUUGGAACAGGCAACAGCGACACCCACGGGCGACGGAACGAGACUACAGACAUGGGUUCAUAAGACAGUCUGUGACUCGACUAGGAGUUAAUAUUUUAAGAACUUUACAUGAACACCACUAGUGACUGUAUUGCUGCAAACUCGAAUGUCUAACGUCGAAUAUGUUGUUAACUGAACCAGAUGAAAUGUUCCACACCACACCACAAAUGUCACAUGGAAAAUAGUAAUGUUCUCCACACCACACAACAUUUGAAACAUUCAUUACAUGUUUGAAAGAGGAUGAGCGUGGAACAAUGCAGGGUGAGGAAAUGGUCUCGUUAUCUUAAAACCAAUAAUCAAUAUUUCAAUCCACUGGUUUUAAACUACAAAAUAAUCCUAAAAUGGAAAAAUAAAAAGGCAGUUCAGCCCUUGGUGUUGGCGAAGGUGGGAGAAAAGGGGUUGUUCAAAUCCAUCCAUCCAUCCAUUUUCUG